GAUGAACGCUGGCGGCGUGCCUAAUACAUGCAAGUCGAGCGAACAGACGAGGAGCUUGCUCCUCUGACGUUAGCGGCGGACGGGUGAGUAACCCGUGGAUAACCUACCUAUAAGACUGGGAUAACUUCGGGAAACCGGAGCUAAUACCGGAUAAUAUAUUGAACCGCAUGGUUCAAUAGUGAAAGACGGUUUUGCUGUCACUUAUAGAUGGAUCCGCGCCGCCUUAGCUAGUUGGUAAGGUAACGGCUUACCAAGGCAACGAUGCGUAGCCGACCUGAGAGGGUGAUCGGCCACACUGGAACUGAGACAAGGUCCAGACUCCGACGGGAGGCAGCAGUAGGGAAUCUUCCGCAAUGGGCGAAAGCCUGACGGAGCAACGCCGCGUGAGUGAUGAAGGUCUUCGGAUCGUAAAACUCUGUUAUUAGGGAAGAACAAAUGUGUAAGUAACUAUGCACGUCUUGACGGUACCUAAGCAGAAAGCCACGGCUAACUACGUG
rnacentral:rRNA from 1 species